rnacentral:lncRNA from 1 species
UAAGAAGAAAGAUUUGUUGAUAUUUGGUCCCAAAUGGGAUAAGAACCCAAAACCAUUGCUUUGAGGCAGUGAAUGGCUUGUAUAAAGUUAUUUUGGGUUAGAAUAUGUUAUAAUACAAUGAAUUUGAUUGAUUACAAGUGCUAGAGAUGCAUGAACAUUGUUUAAAAGUGAGAAGAAAGACUUAUUGAUAUUUGGUCCCAAAAAGGAUAAGAACCCAAAACCAUUGCUUUGAGGCAGUGAAUGGCUUGUAUAAAGUUAUUUUG